UACGUAGGUGGCAAGCGUUGUCCGGAUUUAUUGGGUUUAAAGGGUGCGUAGGCGGUUUUUUAAGUCAGUGGUGAAAUACUUCAGCUUAACUGGAGAGGUGCCAUUGAUACUUGGAAACUUGAGUACUGAUGAGGUAGGCGGAAUGGACGGUGUAGCGGUGAAAUGCUUAGAUAUCGUCCAGAACACCGAUAGCGAAGGCAGCUUACUAAGGAGUAACUGACGCUGAGGCACGAAAGUGUGGGGAUCAAACAGG
rnacentral:rRNA from 1 species